AGUGAGCGCUGGCGGUAGGCCUAACACAUGCAAGUCGAACGGCAGCACAGUAAGAGCUUGCUCUUACGGGUGGCGAGUGGCGGACGGGUGAGGAAUACAUCGGAAUCUACUUUUUCGUGGGGGAUAACGUAGGGAAACUUACGCUAAUACCGCAUACGACCUACGGGUGAAAGCAGGGGAUCUUCGGACCUUGCGCGAUUGAAUGAGCCGAUGUCGGAUUAGCUAGUUGGCGGGGUAAAGGCCCACCAAGGCGACGAUCCGUAGCUGGUCUGAGAGGAUGAUCAGCCACACUGGAACUGAGACACGGUCCAGACUCCUACGGGAGGCAGCAGUGGGGAAUAUUGGACAAUGGGCGCAAGCCUGAUCCAGCCAUACCGCGUGGGUGAAGAAGGCCUUCGGGUUGUAAAGCCCUUUUGUUGGGAAAGAAAAGCAGCAGGUUAAUACCCCGCUGUUCUGACGGUACCCAAAGAAUAAGCACCGGCUAACUUCG
rnacentral:rRNA from 1 species